rnacentral:pre_miRNA from 1 species
AUAUGGACAUUUUUUCCUUUUGAACCUUUAAUUUGGAACUUUCACUCAUAAACUAUCAAAAUCAAUACUCCAAAUUAAAGGUUUAGGGGGAAAUGUCCUCUU